rnacentral:rRNA from 1 species
GAUGAACGCUGGCGGCGUGCCUAAUACAUGCAAGUCGAGCGAACGGACGAGAAGCUUGCUUCUCUGAUGUUAGCGGCGGAUGGGCGAGUAACACGUGGAUAACCUACCUAUAAGACUGGGAUAACUUCGGGAAACCGGAGCUAAUACCGGAUAAUAUUUUGAACCGCAUGGUUCAAAAGUGAAAGACGGUCUUGCCGUCCCUUAUAGCUGGAUCCGCGCUGCAUUAGCUAGUUGGUAAGGUAACGGCUUACCAAGGCCACGAUGCGUAGCCGACCUGAGAGGGUGAUCGGCCACAGUGGAACUGAGACACGGUCCAGACUCCUACGGGAGGCACCCGUAGGGAAUCUUCCGCCGUGGGCGAGAGCCUGACGUUGCCACGCCGCGCUAGUGAUGAAGCUCCUCCGACCGUGAGACUCUGUUAUCUGGGAAGAACAUAUGUGUAGGUACCGGCACUCUUCUUGACGGUCCCUACUCAGACACCCCCCGCUCACUACGCG